AUUGAACGCUGGCGGCAGGCCUAACACAUGCAAGUCGAACGAGUGGCGGACGGGUGAGUAAUGUCUGGGCAACUGCCUGAUGGAGGGGGAUAACUACUGGAAACGGUAGCUAAUACCGCAUAACCUCGGAUGUGCCCAGAGGGGAUUAGCGAGUAGGUGGGGUAACGGCUCACCUAGGCGACGAUCCCUAGCUGGUCUGAGAGGAUGACCAGCCACACUGGAACUGAGACACGGUCCAGACUCCUACGGGAGGCAGCAGUGGGGAAUAUUGCACAAUGGGCGCAAGCCUGAUGCAGCCAUGCCGCGUGUAUGAAGAAGGCCUUCGGGUUGUAAAGUACUGUCAGCGGGGAGGCGGUACCCGCAGAAGAAGCACCGGCUAACUCCGUGCCAGCAGCCGCGGUAAUUC
rnacentral:rRNA from 1 species